rnacentral:lncRNA from 1 species
AUAGUUCAGGCUUAACCACGACAGCGCUCUAAGUUCAGAGUAUUCUCCCAUAGCAGAAUGGCACCUGUGGCCAUGCAAUCAAGAGGAACCAAUAAAACAAAUAUUUAUCAUAUGAACACGUGUAUUUACCUGCUUUUCUAACUCUUUUCUCUCUCCCCUUCAUCUUUCCUUAAUGAAUGUGUAAAAUGACUGUGGAAAACAAUUCCUGUGCUUUUUGAUUUGUUCUCAGGUGUCUCCUGGCAGCACCUCCUUCCUGCUUUACUCCUUCCAAAGCAUUUGCUGUGUCUUAUUACUUCCAUCCAGUUGGAAGACCACUGGAUCAGGCCACUCCAACAUCUGCUCUUCAUCUGCUGUGGCCACUCCCACUCCAGGAAGACUGCAUAUCAGGGGUCUGCUGAAAGUCCCUCACAGAUCUGACAAGUGAUAUAGAAAUGAAGAAGGACUUUGACCACUCACUCAGCCUUCUGAGAGAAGCUACUACUGAAAAAUGUCCCCUGAAAAGGUGAUUGCCUUUACUAUUCCAAAAUUCAGGUUGAAACUUAAUCCCUAAAGCAACAGGAUUAAGAGGUGGGUCCUUUGGGAGGUGAUCAGUACCUUAAAAAAAGGAACUGGAGGAACUAUUUAAGCCCCUUUUACCCUUCUGCCUCUUUCAGUAUCACACUGAAGGCACUAGUCUGGAAAGAGACCAAGCCCUCACCAGACACUGAACCAGCUGUCCUGAUCUUGGAC